GACUUGUGCUCUUCAGAUCCCUUCGUAACGCUGGGGUGUGGGCUAGUUCGAGGGCUCACCGGGCUGGUCAAAAAAGCAGGGGAUGGGGUGUGUCUUGGGAACCCCUGCAGCAACUGAGCCCCACUUUGUGCCAUUAACUCUCCCCGGAGGUGCAGUGGACAGUGCUGGCACCAGACAUGGGGCAAUGGCAUGACUGCCACUUUCCCUGGUAUUCAGGGCAGUGCGCACCUCUCCCUCAUCAGCGAGCCAGGCCUGAGCAGUGGCAGGAGGUGAACAGCCUGGCCUCUCCCCAUGUUCUCUCCAAGGGGGCUGGAGUAGCUGAGCACCUUCCAGCCUCCUCUGCAUGUAACCUCGCGCCCACCCUGGGAGCAGCUGGCCCCAGCAUCCAGCUGGGAACCGAGGUCCAGAGAGACUUACCCUGGGUCACGUAAG